AAGAAGUUAGUUAAAUCAUAUAACAUUAGUAUGUCAUGCUAAAAUUAUUAGUUCUUCUAAUACAUCUUA
rnacentral:tRNA from 1 species